UCUUGGUCAUUUAGAGGAAGUAAAAGUCGUAACAAGGUUUCCGUAGGUGAACCUGCGUAUAUAUCAUUAAACAAAACAAAACUUUCGACAACGGAUCUCUUGGCUCUCGCAUCGAUGAAGAACGCAGCGAAAUGCGAUAAGUAAUGUGAAUUGCAGAAUUCAGUGAAUCAUCGAAUCUUCGAACGCACCUUGCGCCUUUUGGUAUUCCGAAAGGCAUGCCUGUUUGAGUGUCAUGAAAUCUCAAUCCCCCUGAGUUUAUGAUCUGGGUCGGACUUGGAAAUGGGCGUCUGCCGGUCACACGGCUCGCCUCAAAUGACUUAGUGGAUCUCUCUGCAUCCGUGACAGACGUAAUAAGUUUCGUCUUGUCCCUUGCUUAUGAGUCUGCUCAUAACCUGCCAUCGCGCACUUUUAGACUCUGACCUCAAAUCAGGUAGGACUACCCGCUGAACUUAAGCAUAUCAAUAAGCGGAGGA
rnacentral:rRNA from 1 species